GAUGAACGCUAGCGGCAGGCCUAAUACAUGCAAGCCGAACGGUAAUUCUGAUAGCAAUAUUGGAACUAGAGUGGCGUAAGGGUGCGUAACACGUAUGCAAUCUACCCGCAACAGGAGGAUAGCUCCCCGAAAGGGGAAUUAACCCUCCAUGAGAUCACACGAGGGCAUCCGAGAGUGAUUAAAUUUGAGGAGGUUGUGGAUGAGCAUGCGACUGAUUAGCUAGUUGGCAGUGUAACGGACUACCAAGGCGAUGAUCAGUAGGGGAACUGAGAGGUUGAUCCCCCACA
rnacentral:rRNA from 1 species